CGAAAUGCGUUCUUUUCCGUAGAUUCCUUCUCUCACCGUGGAUGGCACAACUUUCUGCACCUUUGACAAGGUUAAAGUCAGAAUUGUGCUGGAUUCUUCCAACGUUCAGCAUCAGAAAAUCCGCAUGACGCUGGUGGAACCCAAGAUAUUAGGCUAUUCCAGCGAGACUCCACAGUCAAGUGGUAAUGAAGAACCAGAAAUGAAAAAGAAGAAACUGAAAAAGUAACUUCAUUUUAGAAAUGAAUGUUAUUUGGUUUGGAGAUAAAUUAUAUAUGAAAGGGGAGCGGGGGGGAGAGAGGGAAAGGAUAUUUUUUAUACUUGUAGAAAAGACUUAUAAAGAAAUUAGCAUUUGCCCAUUUUUAAAACCAUCCCUGAUAAAUAAUACAAUUGCCUACCCCUGUUCAUAUAUCUUAUUAAAGAAUCCAACCAAAACUGAACUUCUGGGACUUUCUCCAGAAGCAGGAAACAACACAAUAUUUUAAAAUUUCCGUGACAAAGGAAAGUAAAUACAGAGGUUUUGUGAAUUUAGAA